GCUCGCGGGAGCGCAACUGACGCUGAAGCUCGAAAGUGCGGGUAUCGAACAGGAUUAGAUACCCUGGUAGUCCGCACGGUAAACGAUGGAUGCCCGCUAUUUGUCCAUUAGGAUAAGUGGCCAAGUGAAAACGUUAAGCAUCCCACCUGGGGAGUACGCCGGCAACGGUGAAACUCAAAGGAAUUGACGGGGGCCCGCACAAGCGGAGGAACAUGUGGUUUAAUUCGAUGAUACGCGAGGAACCUUACCCGGGCUUGAAUUGCUGAGGAAAGAUCCAGAGAUGGUGAUGCCCUUCGGGGCCUCAGUGAAGGUGCUGCAUGGUUGUCGUCAGCUCGUGCUGUGAGGUGUCGGCUUAAGUGCCAUAACGAGCGCAACCCCUCUCUUCAGUUGCCAUCAGGCUAUGCUGGGCACUCUGGAGACACUGCCACCGUAAGGUGUGAGGAAGGUGGGGAUGACGUCAAAUCAGCACGGCCUUUACGUCCGGGGCUACACACGUGUUACAAUGGGUGGUACAGAGAGUUGGGUGCCCGCAAGGUCACUCUAAUCAAUAAAUCCAUCCUCAGUUCGGACUGGGGUCUGCAACCCGACCCCACGAAGCUGG
rnacentral:rRNA from 1 species